rnacentral:rRNA from 1 species
AGCGAACGCUGGCGGCAGGCCUAACACAUGCAAGUCGAACGGACCUUUCGGGGUUAGUGGCGGACGGGUGGGUAACACGUGGGAACGUGCCUUUAGGUUCGGAAUAGCUCCUGGAAACGGGUGGUAAUGCCGAAUGCGCCCUUCGGGGGAAAGAUUUAUCGCCUUCAGAGCGGCCCGCGUCUGAUUAGCUAGUUGGUGAGGUAAUGGCUCACCAAGGCGACGAUCAGUAGCUGGUCUGAGAGGAUGACCAGCCACAUUGGGACUGAGACACGGCCCAAACUCCUACGGGAGGCAGCAGUGGGGAAUCUUGCGCAAUGGGCGAAAGCCUGACGCAGCCAUGCCGCGUGGAUGAUGAAGGUCUUAGGAUUGUAAAAUCCUUUCACCGGUGAAGAUAAUGACUGUAGCCGGAGAAGAAGCCCCGGCUAACUUCGUGCCAGCAGCCGCGGUAACAC